GGCAGGAGCAGGGUGGUUACCCUGCUACAGGGACAAAAAAGGAGCAGUGCCCUUUGAGCUCAAAAAAGGGAAUCCUCUUGGCCUGAAAAUCAAGAGCACAGGGAUUUGCAUGAUUGAUGAAUUCAUCCUCAACCACCCUCAGAGAAAAACAAUGACAAUUUAACAGAGUUACAGUGAAGGCUUUGGAAGUUUGGCCCUAAUGUCUCCCAAUUUCAGUAGUUGGUGCUACAAAGAAGUUUUGUUUGGAGUUAUUAAAAAAAAAUCUCUGGGCAAGCUCCAGCUUUUUUGCUGCCCCAAACAGCGGCGAAGGAAAAAAAAAAGAUUGAGUUGCCAUCGAAUUGCCGCCGAAGACUGAAGCAGAGCGAUUGAGUGGCCGCUGAAGAAGAAGUGAAGGACUGAAGGACCCGCCACCGAAUUGCCACCGAAGACCCGGACGUGCUGCCCCAACAACAGACAGACUGCUGCCCCUUUCGAUUGGCUGCCGCAGGUACCUGCUUCCUUUGCUGGUGCCUGGAGCUGGCCCUGCUUAAAAUUAAGCACAUGCUUAAGUACUUUGGAGGAUCAGGGACCAGAGUGCUCAGCAGUACACAAUAUCAAGUUCUAAAAGAGUGGUAAUUUACCAUUCUUAUUAAUGAACUAUUUUAUGCUUGUUAAUGAAGUAAUAUGCUUUUUGUCGGAUGUGUGACUUGCUACUUUGAUUUCCUUUACCUAUUUCAUUUUUGAAGCAAAAGGAAGGGAGACAAAUUUUAUUGGACUUGCUUUUAUGUAAAACUGUUAGUGUUGGCUGCUUUAUAGCUGGUUCAUGUUGGAGGUGGGAUAAGGAUAUUUUUACACAUUUAACUAUAUACGUUUAGUUUUAUUGCAUAGGGAAUUUGGGUUAUGUAGAAAAAUGAUUAAUGUUUAUACAUUUAUUUUGUUUUUUGCAAUAAUGCUAGAUGCCCUAAAGCUGCAUAAAAGCCAGAUUAUUUUUACUGUGUUUUCGAAAUAUACAGUUUCAUUCUGACUGGCAGAAUGAAGAGAAGUUAUGACAAUACUAAAUCAAUUUUGGCCCAACAUUCUGAUAUAGCAGAAGUAAAAACUUUUAGAAAACCUUCAUCCAGUAGAAAUGUUUUGGGAGUAUUUUUUUUUAUUACAAGCAAAAUAUUUUAAAGGAAGAAAGAAAUUCUCGUACAAUAUUUGUGUCUCAAACAGCGCAGCAGCAUCCUGAUGCACAAGAACCUGAACAUGAAAUUGCCUACAUAUUGACUAGUUUAUUUCCAUGAUCCAAACUGCAUGCGAACUGCAAAUAUAAAUAAGUAAAGUUAUAAAUGGGUGAAAAUAACUAUGCAUUAUGUUCUUUACUAAUUUACUACACGCACACUCUGGAUGCAGUUAUUGAGAUAUGUGCCAUCUUAGCCUUUGAACUCAUUAGAUCUUACAAGCUAAGUAGGUUUGGUUGAAUUAAUACUCUGUUGGGGGGUCUCCAGAAAAAAACAUGGGGCUACAGAAAAAUGGGAUGCUGAGCUGGUAGCAUUUUUGCCUGUACACCACUCUCCCCACUUGGUAUUUGGGAGCACAAUGCUGUUGGAGACGCUGGAUUUCAGAAUGGAUAUAAACCCCAAAACCCACCAUUUGUCAUUUAAAAUCCCAUGAGAGGUCCAAGUUUUAGCUCUAGCUUCAUUGCUAAAUUCUACUGACCUAAGUUCUCCAUUUGCUUUAGCUGGAUAAGUUGCUGUUCUUUACUUUCUGUUCCUUCUCUGUUGCAUACAGCUGGUCAGGAAAUGUUUUCUUUAGCCCAUGGAAAAUGUUGACAAUUUUUAAAAAAAAAUUCCUUUCAUCAAAUUGUCCAUUGGAAAAAUCCUAUUUGUUCAAAAACCAAAACCAGAUUUAUUUAUACCAAAAAACGUGUGUGUGUAUGUAUUUCUGACAAAAAACUGAAAAUUCUCAAGGAAAGCAGACACUUUGUGAAAAUUCUCAUUUAAUUGAAAACCCUAUUUUUUUAAAAUCAAAAAAAGUUUCAGUGAAAACAUUUUGACCAGCCCUCCUGUUGCAUGGUAUUGCUGGAACUCAGGGGUUGCUGCAUCCCA